UAGGGAAUCUUCCACAAUGGGCGAAAGCCUGAUGGAGCAACGCCGCGUGUGUGAUGAAGGGUUUCGGCUCGUAAAACACUGUUGUAAGAGAAAAAUGACAUUGAGAGUAACUGUUCAAUGUGUGACGGUAUCUUACCAGAAAGGAACGGCUAAAUACGUGCCAG
rnacentral:rRNA from 1 species